UACGAAGGGGGCUAGCGUUGCUCGGAAUUACUGGGCGUAAAGCGCACGUAGGCGCUUUCUAAGUCGGGGGUGAAAUCCUGGAGCUCAACUCCAGAACUGCCUUCGAUACUGGAGCGUCGAGUCCGGGAGAGGUGAGUGGAACUGCGAGUGUAGAGGUGAAAUUCGUAGAUAUUCGCAAGAACACCAGUGGCGAAGGCGGCUCACUGGCCCGGUACUGACGCUGAGGUGCGAAAGCGUGGGGAGCAACAGG
rnacentral:rRNA from 1 species